rnacentral:rRNA from 1 species
ACGUAGGGUCCAAGCGUUAUCCGGAAUUACUGGGCGUAAAGAGUUGCGUAGGUGGCAUAGUAAGUAGAUAGUGAAAGCGUGUGGCUCAACCAUACAUCCAUUAUCUAAACUGCUAAGCUUGAGGAUGAGAGAGGUAGAUGGAAUUCCUAAUGUAGGGGUAAUAUCCGUAGAUAUUAGGAGGAACACCGAUGGCGUAAGCAGUCUACUGGCUCAUUCCUGACACUAAGGCACGAAAGCGUGGGGAGCGAACAGGA